rfam:Mus musculus chromosome 2, GRC primary reference assembly.
AGCUUGGCUCCUUUGGGAGCCACUGAUAUUUAAUAAAUGUUGCUUU